UCCUGAGUAUCCUGAUGCUGUACCUCCCUACUGCCUCGGCAAGCCUAAGGGUUCUGAAUCACAAGGGAGAAUCACUGAAGACUUCGCAAAUGAAGCGCUAAGGAAAUGCUACCUGAAUGAAGGGCAGCUCUCGCCACCAACGAGAGCUCAGGGUCGAGGAGGAAUCAGUCAGCAGCGCACACAGCUCGCGCUUGGGAAAAUGAAUCUCCGGCAUCCACGGCCGGCUCUGAAACCGUAGAGAGCUUAGCUGAGUGAGGAGUCGGGAACGCCUCACUGCUGUUACUUCUUUAUCCACAAGCUAAAGGGAAGAAUAGAGAGGAGAGUCAGGGCAAAGACUCCACCAGAGAGCCCAGCUCCGAAGGGCAAGACCACGUCCUGAGGCGUAGGUGCUGCCAAGGGAGACUUAAAAAAUAUGUCUCAGAGAUCAACCAGGAUGUGAGCAAGCAGACAGGAGCUAGUCCACAGGCCUCCCUGCAACGGCGGACUCUAUCCAUGACUCAGUAGACCCAAACAGACUUCAUCAAAGACAAGAUCAAGGGCAAGUAAAAAUGUAAAAGAUGAAA